rnacentral:misc_RNA from 1 species
GGAAGUAAAAGUUGUAACAAGGUUUCCGUAGGUGAACCUGCGGAAGGAUCAUUAAAGUUAUAGUCCCCCGGCCCUCUGGGCUGGGGUCUUCUAUACCACCCUUUGUUUAUUACACCUUUGUUGCUUUGGCAGGCCUGCCCUCGGGCUGCUGGCUCCGGCCGGCUCGCGUCUGCCAGAGGACCUAAACUCUGUUUGUAUAUGAAGUCUGAGUACUAUAUAAUAGUUAAAACUUUCAACAACGGAUCUCUUGGUUCUG